CACGUAGGGCGCAAGCGUUAUCCGGAAUUAUUGGGCGUAAAGCGUCCGCAGGUGGCACCUCAAGUCUGCUGUCAAAGACCGGGGCUUAACCCCAGAAAGGCAGUGGAAACUGAAGUGCUAGAGUGCAGUAGGGGUAGAGGGAAUUCCCGGUGUAGCGGUGAAAUGCGUGGAGAUCGGGAAGAACAUCGGUGGCGAAAGCGCUCUGCUGGACUGCAACUGACACUCAGGGACGAAAGCUAGGGGAGCGAAUGGG
rnacentral:rRNA from 1 species